UAAAUCAUUUUAUUCUUAAUUUUCAUAUAUUAUAUUAAAUUCAUUUCUUAGGUUUAUCUGACUCAGCAUAAUAAAUAAUAAAUUUUUAGUGGAGGUGGCAAAUUUUGAUAUCAACCCCCAUGAUUUAAAGUGAUUGGUAAUCCUUUUUAACUCACACAAAACUGUAAAUGAAUUGAAUUAAUCUGAAUGACUUUUAUGACUCAACUCAAAGUUGACAUGUUUAGAUUAAUUCAACCAAUUUGAAUUUUAACUAAAAAAAUAUAUUUUAAUAUGAAAUGAUUAUAACUAUAAAUUGAUUUAAAAAAUCUUUUUAUAUAACAAUUUGAGGAAUAAUUAAUUCGAAUCAACUGGAACCAAAUUUGCAGAUUUG
rnacentral:misc_RNA from 1 species